GGUAAUCCACCCCGUUUUCUUGUUUUUGUUCUUUCUUGCUCCCCAAGCAAGAAUGGUCGUGGGUUACGACCUCGAGUUGAGCGGCGACUUCGGCAGGCAAGAUGGUGACGGUGUCGAGGAGGUGCAAGACCGCAGAGAGGGUGUCGCCAGUUAGAUAUAUAGUAUACUAUCCAUUUUGGCUAAUAGAAGUUAUGAAUAUGAUAUUGUGCGUAGAUGUUCUAUUUUAAUGUAGAAGGAUGUGAUGAAGAUUGUAAACUGAGUAGUAAAAUUAAGUGGCUAUUUUCUUUCA